UGGGGAAUAUUGCACAAUGGGCGCAAGCCUGAUGCAGCCAUGCCGCGUGUGUGAAGAAGGCCUUCGGGUUGUAAAGCACUUUCAGCGGGGAGGAAGGCGUUAAGGUUAAUAACCUUGGCGAUUGACGUUACCCGCAGAAGAAGCACCGGCUAACUCCGUGCCAGCAGCCGCGGUAAUACGGAGGGUGCAAGCGUUAAUCGGAAUUACUGGGCGUAAAGCGCACGCAGGCGGUCUGUCAAGUCGGAUGUGAAAUCCCCGGGCUCAACCUGGGAACUGCAUUCGAAACUGGCAGGCUAGAGUCUUGUAGAGGGGGGUAGAAUUCCAGGUGUAGCGGUGAAAUGCGUAGAGAUCUGGAGGAAUACCGGUGGCGAAGGCGGCACCCUGGACAAAGACUGACGCUCAGGUGCGAAAGCGUGGGGAGCAAACAGG
rnacentral:rRNA from 1 species